rnacentral:piRNA from 1 species
UGCAUUUCUAGUGUUGAUACCUGGGUGUU